ACUUCUAUUUCCUACACAACACAGCUGUUCGAUUAUCGACAUCUUCUUCUUUUAGAACACUUUGGGUUGAUAAAGAAACUUAAAAAUGAAGAUAGAGAGUUGUUGUUUUGCUAGAGCUAGACAAUUUUCUUCUCCUCAAACUUUCUCCUACUCUUUUUGCAUCUUCUUCACUGAAGCUUUUCAAGCAAGGUAAUUUCUUUCACAAUUUCUUAAUAUCAGUCUGGUUUUUCUCUUGCAAUGUGCAAUGUGCAUCAUUUUUUUUUUGAGUUUUUCUCUCUACAGUCCACAUUGACAUUACUUGCUAGAGUUAGCUCUGCUUUCCUAAUGCUGCAAUCCUAAAAUUGAGAGAUUUUGAUCGAAUGUGUUCUUUGUUGGUUUGUUUAAAUUGAACGUUUUUCUCUAGAUAUCACACAAACACUUGUGUUACUGGUUGUGCUCCUCCUUCAAAUUUCAAAUAUCCAUCUACUGUACAUUGUGGUUGGUAAGUUGUCCCUAAACUUUACUUUCUUUAUUCUUAUGAAGACUAGUAUCAGAUCAUUGGUUUUACUAGUAUUAUUCUAAUUCUUGUCAUUCACCUCUGCUAAAUUUUGUUGAAACAUAAAUAAAUUCUCAAGUAUUUUGACCCAAAUGCAUCUUAUUUUAUUAAAUUAAACCGAACUAAACUAUUUUCAAGGUAAUUUUUGAUAGUGAGAUGAUGAUAUUGGGCUAAUUAAAUGAAAUGUUGUGUUUCAUAAUACUGUUCGACAUUUUGUUCAUUCAAGUCUGUGUUCCAAAGGAGUUGGUGGGGGGUUAGAAAACUGAAGGAGAUGAAUGAAACAUUAUUAGGAAGCUGGCAUGGCUACAGAUAUAUGGAGAAGAAAACUAAGGACAUACUAUGGAAGCAGGUGAUUCAAGCAAAGUAUUGAAGCAACGAGUCGACAACUAUAAUUGGUUCACUAAGGAUGUAAAGCAGAGUUAUGCAGUAGAACAAAAACUUGUAGAAUAUAAAGUGUGGCUUUCAAUUUAGGGAAAGGAACCAGAAUCAAAUUUUGGGCAGAUAAGUGGUGUGGUGAAGUUACUUUAAGUGAGGCUUUCCCUGGGAUCUAUUUGAGGGCAAGAGAUAAGCAUGGGGGUGUAGCAGCAUCUGGAAUUCCACUACAGAAAAUCAUGGGUGGAACUUGAAGAUGAUAGACUGGUUAUAUGAAUGGGAAGUACAAGAAGUUGAAAUUUAAUGACAUGAGGAGGAGGAGGAUUCCAUGAGGUGGACUCUCUGUCUCUAUGUAAUACUGGGUCCUUUACAGUCUCAUCUUUUAUGGGAACAAGAAGUGUCAUAUAGAGUGAAGUUUUCUUCUGGUGUUUACAUACUGUGGAAUAGGAUACUAACAGUGGACAGGCUUCGACAUUUGGGAUCAAUUAUACAUUUAUACCAAACAGAUGUUAACGCAAGGAGGAAAAAGAAUCGUACAGUUCUCCAUCUCUUUUUGUCAUGCUUUUUUGUCCUUAAUGAAUUGUAAUACCAUACCGUAGGGUAGAAGAUGUUCGGAGUGUAAAAGAAUGGUUGGAGAGAUGGCUGAAGGUUGCUACUACGCCAUGGGGUGGAAUCCUGUGGAAGUAUGCUCUGCAUGCGGUGUUUUGGACUGUACGAAAGACCAGGAAUGAUACAUUCUUUGGGGAGAAGAUCAUCUCGCCAGAGAAAGCAUGUGUAGCAGUUAAGCAGUGAUGGGAAUUAUAGAGUAUUGGGCAAAGGGGAGUGCUCAAAGCAAAGGACAUAGAUUCCAAGUGAUCUAUGUCAACUGGCCGGUUGUAGUGACUGACGGGGGUUUGGGGUACCUAAUGUGGUUGGGUUGAACAUUUUAAUGUACAAGGGACAGUUCUGAUGUAUAAUCACAUAUAGCUUUAUUUAUUCUUUCAGAAUAAUUGAAAUUUUUUAUCGACUCCAAAAAAUAAAAGUUUGAAAAUUUAUGAUGAUCAAAACAAAAUUGUGGAUUUUUCUAUGACAUCCUUUGACAAGCUGAUAACUGAUAAAUAUCCUAGAACAAGUGGUUAUUUAUGAUGGUCGAGGAUUUCCAUGACGAUCGAGCAUGUCUUAUUUAUUUGGCGUGUGUUGUGUCUGUGGACUGUGCAUGCUCCUUUUGUACUGCACUCUUUAAUCGAUUUUUGUAAAUUAUAUUGAUCUGUUGUUACCAUAUUAUCUAACAGAUUAUAUAUGGAGACCGACCGAACUACUGAGAGGUAUUCCCAAUCCCAUUCCCAUAGUGGGAAUAAUGGGCUCUCAGUUGCAGCCACCAUUGGGAUUGCAGCAGGAGCAGUUGCAGUGUGCAUCAUCGUGAUCCUGAUCAUCUGGUGGCUGCGGAGAGGUGAUCAGGUACCUGUGGAGGCGGUGGCGACGACGAUUCAAGUUUAUUUGGACGACGGGGGGCUUGCUACCAUUGAGGAGAUGUCAGGCGAGGGAUCGUCCCUGACCUACUCCUCGUGAGCUGAGCUGAGCUGAGCUGAGAGAGAGAGAGAGAGAGAGAGAGAGAGAGAGAGAGAGAGAGAGAGAGAGAGAGAGAGAGAGAGCUAUUUAUGAUGCAUGAUAAUCAACAAAUUCAUUAAUAAUCCAAUUAGACUGUCACUCGUAAUCAUUCCUGUGGAUACAAUUGUUGUCGUGUUGUCGUGUAUGUGUUUAUCUAGAAAUUUUUUGUUAAGUACUAAGUUUUACAUAUCUUCUACCUAUAGUGC
rnacentral:lncRNA from 1 species